AGUGAACGCUGGCGGUAGGCCUAACACAUGCAAGUCGAACGGCAGCACAGUAAGAGCUUGCUCUUACGGGUGGCGAGUGGCGGACGUGUGAGGAAUACAUCGGAAUCUACUUUUUCGUGGGGGAUCACGUAGGGAAACUUACGCUAAUACCGCAUACGACCUACGGGUGAAAGCAGGGGAUCUUCGCACCUUGCGCGAUUGAAUGAGCCGAUGUCGGAUUAGCUAGUUGGCGGGGUAAAGGCCCACCAAGGCGACGAUCCGUAGCUGGUCUGAGAGGAUGAUCAGCCACACUGGAACUGAGACACGGUCCAGACUCCUACGGGAGGCAGCAGUGGGGAAUAUUGGACAAUGGGCGCAAGCCUGAUCCAGCCAUACCGCGUGGGUGAAGAAGGCCUUCGGGUUGUAAAGCCCUUUUGUUGGGAAAGAAAAGCAGCAGGUUAAUACCCCGCUGUUCUGACGGUACCCAAAGAAUAAGCACCGGCUAACUUCGUG
rnacentral:rRNA from 1 species